rnacentral:lncRNA from 1 species
GACAUGUCUAUGAGGAAAGGAAAGACAUGUCUAUGAGGAAAGGAAAGACGUCUAUGAGGAAAGGAAAGACAUGUCUAUGAGGAAAGGAAAGACAUGUCAAUGAGGAAAGGAAAGACAUGUCUAUGAGGAAAGGAAAGAUGUCUAUGAGGAAAGGAAAGACACGUCUAUGAGGAAAGGAAAGACAUGUCUAUGAGGAAAGGAAAGACGUCUAUGAGGAAAGGAAAGACAUGUCUAUGAGGAAAGGAAAGACAUGUCUGUGAGGAAAGGAAAGACAUGUCUAUGAGGAAAGGAAAGACAUGUCUGAAAGGAAAGAUGUCUAUGAGGAAAGGAAAGACAUGUCUGUGAGGAAAGAUGUCGAUGAGGUUCCCUGUUUUCAACAGACAAACUUUGUAGGUUCUCUUUUAUUUCACUACAUGUUUAUGAUAUGAAACAUAGCUUUGUCACAUAAACCUUAUAAUGGACAAAUGUAACGAUGGAAUGACGAACGAAGGCCCGUAGCAACAACAACAACAAAAACAGAAAAUACACAAAAAUAUUUUUCAUGAUCUAAGGUAAGAAAGAAAGUAAACAUUUUAAGAAUUGUCAUGUAAAAAAAUGACUCUACUAUAAAAUUGUCUUGUAGCAAAUAUGUGCAUUAAUAAUAAUAAUAAUAAUCUCAGUGAG